UGGGGAAUUUUGGACAAUGGGGGAAACCCUGAUCCAGCCAUCCCGCGUGUGCGAUGAAGGCCUUCGGGUUGUAAAGCACUUUUGGCAGGAAAGAAACGUCGCGGGUUAAUACCCCGCGAAACUGACGGUACCUGCAGAAUAAGCACCGGCUAACUACGUGCCAGCAGCCGCGGUAAUACGUAGGGUGCAAGCGUUAAUCGGAAUUACUGGGCGUAAAGCGUGCGCAGGCGGUUCGGAAAGAAAGAUGUGAAAUCCCAGAGCUUAACUUUGGAACUGCAUUUUUAACUACCGGGCUAGAGUGUGUCAGAGGGAGGUGGAAUUCCGCGUGUAGCAGUGAAAUGCGUAGAUAUGCGGAGGAACACCGAUGGCGAAGGCAGCCUCCUGGGAUAACACUGACGCUCAUGCACGAAAGCGUGGGGAGCAAACAGGAUUAGAUACCCUGGUAGUCCACGCCCUAAACGAUGUCAACUAGCUGUUGGGGCCUUCGGGCCUUGGUAGCGCAGCUAACGCGUGAAGUUGACCGCCUGGGGAGUACGGUCGCAAGAUUAAAACUCAAAUGAAUUGACGGGGUCAUAGCUGUUU
rnacentral:rRNA from 1 species